rnacentral:rRNA from 1 species
GACGAACGCUGGCGGCGUGCCUAAUACAUGCAAGUCGAGCGCAGGAAACUGACGGAACUCUUCGGAGGGAAGGCAGUGGAAUGAGCGGCGGACGGGUGAGUAACACGUAAGGAACCUGCCUCAAGGAUUGGGAUAACUCCGAGAAAUCGGAGCUAAUACCGGAUAGUUCAACGGACCGCAUGGUCCGCUGAUGAAAGGCGCUCCGGCGUCACCUUGAGAUGGCCUUGCGGUGCAUUAGCUAGUUGGUGGGGUAACGGCCCACCAAGGCGACGAUGCUAGGCCGACCUGGGAGGGUGACCGGCCACACGGGGACUGAGACGCGGCCCAGACUCCUACGGGAGGCAGCAGUAGGGAAUCUUCCACAAUGGACGAAUGUCUGAUGGAGCAACGCCGCGUGAGUGAUGAAGGUUUUCGGAUCGUAAAACUCUGUUGUAAGGGAAGAACACGUACGAGAGGCAAUGCUCGUACCUUGACGGUACCUUACGAGAAAGCCACGGCUAACUACGUGCCAGCCGCCGCCGUAACAC